rnacentral:rRNA from 1 species
GAUGAACGCUGGCGGCGUGCCUAAUACAUGCAAGUCGAGCGAACGGACGAGAAGCUUGCUUCUCUGAUGUUAGCGGCGGACGUGUGAGUAACACGUGGAUAACCUACCUAUAAGACUGGGAUAACUUCGGGAAACCGGAGCUAAUACCGGAUGAUAUUUUGAACCGCAUGGUUCAAAAGUGAAAGACGGUCUUGCUGUCACUUAUAGAUGGAUCCGCGCUGCAUUAGCUAGUUGGUAAGGUAACGGCUUACCAAGGCAACGAUGCAUAGCCGACCUGAGAGGGUGCACGCCCACACUAGAACUAAGACCUGGUCCAGUCUCCUACGGGAGGCAGCCGUCGGGAAUCAUCCGCACUGGGCGCAAGCCUGACGGAGCAACGCCGCGUGAGUGAUGAAGGUCUUCGGAUAGUAGAACUCUGUUAUUAGGGAAGAACAUAUGUGUAAGUAACUGUGCACCUCUUGACGGUACCUAGUCAGAAAGCCACGGCUAACUACGUG